rnacentral:rRNA from 1 species
GACGAACGCUGGCGGCGUGCUUAACACAUGCAAGUCGAACGGAAAGGCCCUGCUUUUGUGGGGUGCUCGAGUGGCGAACGGGUGAGUAACACGUGAGUAACCUGCCCUUGACUUUGGGAUAACUUCAGGAAACUGGGGCUAAUACCGGAUAGGAGCUCCUGCUGCAUGGUGGGGGUUGGAAAGUUUCGGCGGUUGGGGAUGGACUCGCGGCUUAUCAGCUUGUUGGUGGGGUAGUGGCUUACCAAGGCUUUGACGGGUAGCCGGCCUGAGAGGGUGACCGGACAAAUUGGGACUGAGAUACGGCGCAGUCUCCUACGGGAGGCAGGAGUGGGGAAUAUUGCACAAUGGGCGGAAGCCUGCUGCGGCGACGCCGCGUGCCGGAUGACGGCCUUCGGGUUGUAGACCGCUUUCGGCUGUGACGAAGCGGGAGUGACGGUAAUGGGUAAAGAAGCACCGGCUAACUACGUG